rfam:Parcubacteria (Nomurabacteria) bacterium GW2011_GWB1_43_7 TW02_C0007, whole genome shotgun sequence.
GCCGGUGUAGUUUAAUGGUAAAACGGGGGACUCAUAAGCCCCAGUCAGUGGUCCGAUUCCACUCUCCGGCA